rnacentral:rRNA from 1 species
UGACCUCGGUAUACAGGUAGGG